GCAUCCUAAAUGACAUUGUUACUUAUAUUGCUCUAGUUAGAAAUGUAGCUGAUCAAGCAAUACCUUAAAAUGUACUAGUUGUUUUGUUUUGGCAAGGCUUCUCUUACAAACAAUAAACUCAAUCAGUCCUUCUUUUCUGCUUGUCUGGCAUCAUCGUACCUGCUGAAGAAUGAACAGCUAUUUGCAGAGCAAUGUUAAAAGUUUACAUGAUGUAACUGGAGAUAUUCACUUACUUAGGUUAGAGUUUAUAGUCCCUAGUGGGUAGCAAUUGCCUAUAUGCAUUUUUGGUCUUUCUAAUUCCAGAAAUCUAGAUCUGUAAUAUACAAGUAUAGCAUUUUAUCAUGUGUUCAGUAGAUUUGGGCUAGGUACCAUAUUGUCCCUCUUACAGGGACUAAUUUUAAAAGAAAACUAUGUAAAUAAUGAUUUCAAAAAAUUUCCAUGCCCAACAGUCCUGAUGGCAAACUCCAACUCAGGGCUGCUUCUUUGACAGACCAAGAGAACUAAUUAUGGAUUAUCCACACUGAAGAAAAGGUAACCAAAGAUGAAGUCUCCCAGCUGAUAAAAAGAGGCCCUGAACUAAGAUUGAACCCCAGAUCCACCUGACUGCAGAACCCAAAAGCACCCCAAACUCUAUCCAAGAUACUGGAAUUACCCCUUUGCUUUACCAUGGCCACCUGCCUGCAAAAACUGUAAUACACAGCAAACUGACCAAAAGGUGCACAGAAGGAGAGAAGCAAAAGACCUCCAUAAUCUCCAUACCUAGGAAUCAGGAGCUUUUCGAAGAACCACUUCUUCACACAUUGCCUGUCUACAGUUGCCUCAGACACUGCUCAGUGCAUGGUGGCAGUUCAGAUAGGUUCCUCUCUUUAGACACUGAAGCAAGAACUUUACCCCUGUGGGAAGCCCACCC